rnacentral:rRNA from 1 species
UGAAUACGAGACGCUAAGGCGUCGAAGUAGUGUAUGUCAUACUUCCAAGAAAAGCUUGCACUGUCAUAGAUAAAAAACGCCUGUACCAUAACCGACACAGGUGGGUAGGUAGAGUAUACUAAGGGGCGCGAGAUAACUCUCUCUAAGGAACUCGGCAAAAUAACUCCGUAACUUCGGGAGAAGGAGUGCCUUAUUCGUAAGGUUGCAAUAACAAGAUCCAAGCAACUGUUUAUCAAAAACACAGGUCUCCGCUAAGUCGUAAGACGAUGUAUGGGGGCUGACGCCUGCCCAGUGCCAGAAGGUUAAAGAAGUUGGUUAGCAAUUGCGAAGCUGAUAACUGAAGCCCUGGUGAACGGCGGCCGUAACAAUAACGGUCCUAAGGUAGCGAAAUUCCUUGUCGGGUAAGUUCCGACCCGCACGAAAGGCGUAAUGAUUUGGAUACUGUCUCGGAGAGGGGCUCGGUGAAAUAGACUUGUCUGUGAAGAUGCGGACUACCUGCACCAGGACAGAAAGACCCUAUGAAGCUUUACUGUAACUUGAAAUUGAAAUUGGACUUUAUUCGCGCAGCAUAGGUGGGAGGCGUUGAUUAUAAUCUUGCGGGAUUAUUGGAGCCAUCAGUGAGAUACCACUCUUGUAAUGUUAGAUUUCUAACUUUGAAUCAUUAUCUGGUCAAAGAACAGUUUCAGGCGGGCAGUUUGACUGGGGCGGUCGCCUCCUAAACGGUAACGGAGGCGUACAAAGGUUUCCUCUGAACGGUUAGAAAUCGUAUCUAGAGUGUAAAGGCAUAAUGAAGCUUGACUGUGAGACCUACAAGUCGAGCAGGGACGAAAGUCGGUCUUAGUGAUCUGACGGUACUGAGUGGAAAGGCCGUCACUCAACGGAUAAAAGUUACUCUAGGAUAACAGGCUGAUCUCCCCCAAGAGUUCACAUCGACGGGGAGGUUUGGCACCUCGAUGUCGGCUCAUCGCAUCCUGGGGCGGUAGUACGUCCCAAGGGUUGGGCUGUUCGCCCAUGAAAGCGGUGCGCGAGCUGGGUUCAGAACGUCGUGAGACAGUUCGGUCCAUAUCCGGUGUAGGCGUUAGAAUAUUGAGAGGAGCCUUCUUUAGUACGAGAGGACCGAGAAGGACAUACCUCUGGUGUACCAGUUAUCGUGCCAACGGUAAACGCUGGGUAGCUAUGUAUGGAGUGGAUAACCGCUGAAAGCAUCUAAGUGGGAAGCCCACCUCAAGAUAAGUAUUCUCAUC